AGUGAACGCUGGCGGUAGGCCUAACACAUGCAAGUCGAACGGCAGCACCGUAAGAGCUUGCUCUUACGGGUGGCGAGUGUCGGACGGGUGAGGAAUACAUCGGAAUCUACUUUUUCGUGGGGGAUAACGUAGGGAAACUUACGCUAAUACCGCAUACGACCUACGGGUGAAAGCAGGGGAUCUUCGGACUUUGCGCGAUUGAAUGAGCCGAUGUCGGAUUAGCUAGUUGGCGGGGUAAAGGCCCACCAAGGCGACGAUCCGUAGCUGGUCUGAGAGGAUGAUCAGACACACUGGAACUGAGACACGGUCCAGACUCCUACGGGAGGCAGCAGUGGGGAAUAUUGGACAAUGGGCGCAAGCCUGAUCCAGCCAUACCGCGUGGGUGAAGAAGGCCUUCGGGUUGUAAAGCCCUUUUGUUGGGAAAGAAAAGCAGCAGGUUAAUACCCCGCUGUUCUGACGGUACCAAAAGAAUAAGCACCGGCUAACUUCGUG
rnacentral:rRNA from 1 species